rnacentral:lncRNA from 1 species
AAUUAAACAAAUUAUAAUACAAGAUAUAAAAUAUAAGGUAUUAACAACAAAAGGAUAGUCGAUAAAAAUUGCCUAUCUACUUAGAGCAUGUUAAACUCCAACCUAAAUGACUUUGGGACAGUGAAAGAUAUCAAAACUGAAGUUUGGGAAUAAAUCGAAGUGGAAGCUGUUUAACAAGAAAAUCACACGACUGUUUGGGUUAGUAUUUGUUGUGUCUUUGGUUCA